AAUGUGUCAAAGUCUUCCACGUACAAGAGACUUUCCUUUUCAAUUUGAUCAUCAUCACAGACUUGAUUCCUCGGCACACCAAUGCUGUCCCUUGUUGCUGGCAGAGGAUGACUGCCUCCUUGGCUCAGGCUUCCAUCUUGACCAGCAUUUCUCACUCCCCAGCACAAGAGCUGCCGCCAGCCAGAAGACGCCAGAUGGCAGCGAGCAAUCAGAUCCCAGAGCAAUGUCACCUGCUGAAGGGAGCCAAAAACUUGAUGGCAGAUGCUACUUGUCCUUUGCUUCUGAGAUGGUAGCCUGCAUCCAUCCUUGA
rnacentral:lncRNA from 1 species